UACGAAGGGGGCUAGCGUUGCUCGGAAUGACUGGGCGUAAAGGGCGCGUAGGCGGAUUGUACAGUCAGGCGUGAAAUUCCCGGGCUCAACCUGGGGGCUGCGCUUGAGACGUGCGAUCUUGAGUGGGGAAGAGGGUCGUGGAAUUCCCAGUGUAGAGGUGAAAAUUCGUAGAUAUUGGGAAGAACACCGGUGGCGAAGGCGGCGACCUGGUCCUUGACUGACG
rnacentral:rRNA from 1 species